UACUCGCGGUCCAAGUCGCAGCCAUUUUUAUUGGGUCUAAAACAUCCGUAGCUUGCUUUGCAAGUUUUUUGUGAAAUCCCGUUUCUCAAGGGCGGGGCGAGCAAAAAAUACUACAGAGCUAGAGACUGGAAGACGUAAGAAGUAUGUUCGAAGUAGCGGUAAAAUGUGUUAAUCUCGGACAGACUAACAAGAGCGAAGGCAUCUUACGAGGACAGUUCUGACAGUAAGGGAUGAAGGCCAGGGGCGCAAAAGG
rnacentral:rRNA from 1 species